rnacentral:rRNA from 1 species
GACGAACGCUGGCGGCGGGCCUAACACAUGCAAGUCGAACGGAAAGGCCCUGCUUUCGCCGGGUUUCCGAGUCGCGCACGUGUGAGUAACAUGUGAGUCUCCCUCCUUUGGCUUUGUGAUGUCCUCAGGCAACCGCGGCUACCGCAUGCUACGAGAUGCUGCAGGUUGGUGAUGGUCGGACCGCUCCGGCUGAUGGGGAUCGACGCGGGGCUAACUAGCUGGUUGGGUGGGUACUUGCCAAGCCAGGCUUCGGUGGGUGGCCUGCCUGAGAGGGUGAACAGCCACAUUGGGACUGAGGUACGGCCCAGACUCCUACGGGAGGCAGCAGUGGGAAAUAUUGCACAAUGGGCGGAAGCCUGAGGCAGAGGCGCCGGGUGCGGGAUGACGGCCUUCGGGGGGGAAACCGCUUUCGCCUGUGACGAAGCGUGAGUGACGGUAAUGAGUAAAGAAGCACCGGCUAACUACGUG